GCCUGGGUGGCUCAGUUGGUUAAAGCCUCUGCCUUCGGCUCAGGUUAAGAUCUCAGGGUUGUGGGAUCAAGCCCCUCCUCAGGCU
rnacentral:tRNA from 1 species